AUGCUUAUUAUGGACAGGUUGAACACCAAGGACAUGGUGGAUAGGAGACACUGGCAUUUGGAGGAUGGAGUAAACUGUGUUCUUUGUCCCUUGCAGACUAGGGAAACCAGGGAUCAUCUGUUCUUCAAUUGCAACUUUAGUGUCAGAGUUUGGAACUAUCUGCAAAUUGAUUGGGCUUCUGGUGACUCCAUGGCUCAUCUGGUUCUUAAUGCUAGCAGGAGUUUUAGGAAGCCCUUCUUCUCUGAAGUGGUGUUCAUUGCUUGCUGGAAUAUCUGGAUCAUCAGGAAUGCUAAGGUCUUCAGGCAUGAGAGGGCUAGAUUUAAUAGAUGGAGAUCUGCUUUCAUCCAUGACAUCACUUUAAUGCAAUAUAAAGUGAAAGCUGCCUUCAAAGAUGAUCUUCUUCGCUGGAUUUCAUUUAUGCCACCUUGA
rnacentral:rRNA from 1 species